rnacentral:snoRNA from 1 species
GGAUCGAUGAUGACACCCUCACAUGCAUUCCUUGGAAAAAUCUGAACAAAAUGAGUGAGAACUCACUACCGUCUCCUCAUCGAAACUGAGGUCC